UACGAAGGGGGCUAGCGUUGCUCGGAAUUACUGGGCGUAAAGGGCGCGUAGGCGGCCGAUCAAGUCAGGCGUGAAAUUCCCGGGCUCAACCUGGGGGCUGCGCUUGAGACUGGUUGGCUAGAGGCCGAGAGAGGGUGGUGGAAUUCCCAGUGUAGAGGUGAAAUUCGUAGAUAUUGGGAAGAACACCGGUGGCGAAGGCGGCCACCUGGCUCGGUACUGACGCUGAGGCGCGAAAGCGUGGGGAGCAAACAGG
rnacentral:rRNA from 1 species